GAGUUAACAGUAAAAAGCUUCUAACUUUUUCUUAAGCAUUAAUAUGUUUUUAACCCU
rnacentral:tRNA from 1 species